rnacentral:misc_RNA from 1 species
AUGAAUGGCUUUUUUGGCCUUCGACUUCAAACCUGUGGAAGCGAGAUGUGCUUUGGCGCCAAGUCGCCUCAUUUAUGCCAAAAAGCAUUUGUCUGAAUCAAAAAAACAAGAAUCA